rnacentral:misc_RNA from 1 species
AAGUCGUAACAAGGUCUCCGUAGGUGAACCUGCGGAGGGAUCAUUAACACGUAUCCACGUAACAACCAAAUCGAGAACCCGGAAGAUCCAAUUUCAAUGAAAAUUGAAUUGCGAGCUUCUAAUCCUCCCUAGUUUAGAUUAACUGUAUACAGAGAUUUCUGUGGUGGGUAUCAAUCGAUUGAUUUCGAUUGAUACGAUCUCUGUAUACUCGAGGUUCGACCUCAAUGUUUUCUGAAUUAGGCUAAUAAUUUUUACCAUCACAGAUACAAACCCCUUUCACCUAACUUAUUUCCAAUUGAAAUUUUUCUAAUUUAGCGAAAGCUAAAUUUGAUAUCUAAACUAAAAGCACAACUCUUAGCAAUGGAUAUCUUGGUUCUC